CAUUAUUGCAGUGGACAUAGAAAGUUCAGCUCCAUCAACCAUCAACAAUAACCGAGCUAAAACUGGUUCAUCCUAGAAAUUUAUUUACAGGAAAUCACAAUUUAAAAUGUCAAAAAUCUAUGAACAGGAACAAUUAAAAAGAACUACAGAAUAACAGAUUAAUUAGGCCUCCAUUUCUUGCAUGUGUGAGUCCCACACAUGCAUCCACAAAA
rnacentral:misc_RNA from 1 species